rnacentral:rRNA from 1 species
UACAGAGACCUCAAGCGUUAUCCGGAAUCAUUGGGCGUAAAGCGUACCGAUAGGUGGUUUACCAAGUCAGAAGUGAAAUCUCCGAGCUUAACUCGGAAUCUGUCUUUUGAAACUGGUAGACUAGAGGGGCAAAGAGGAAGCUGGAACAAACGGUGUAGUAGUGAAAUGCGUUGAUAUCGUUUGGAACACCAAUAGCGAAGGCGAGCUUCUGGGUGCCACCUGACACUGCUAGGACGAAAGCGUGGGGAGCGAAUGGG